GGCUGCGCACCGCCUGUGGGGAAGAGGUUUGGGACCGCGGGUAAGGUGGAGUCUCGGGCGGCCUACCGAGGUGGCUCCUCCGGGCCCGCGGGGGGCCCACCCAACCCCUCCGCCCCCAGGACCGGGUCCGGGAAUGUAAAUUGAUGCGCGUGCCCGUUCGAGGCAGCCCCUGCCCUGGUCACCUCCAAACUGUCCGGCCUAGUGGGCUUGGAUGAGUGGGCCCGGGUGGCAGUUCUAACGUCUUGGUCUCUUUGCUGAAUUAUUUCUUCAAAGAAAACACAAAGGUCCUUCUUCCAGCUUUUGACCACAGGAAUCAAGGGCAUCAAAGUGGAACUCAACCUAAUUUGAAGUAUCAGAAAUGACUUCUCCUAGCAAGAGAUGGUCUGAGCCAAGAUUUAAAACUGCUUCAGAGUGAACUCAGUGCAGAAAUUGGGGAAAAGAAAGGAAGAACAUAAAGACCUCAUGGUGGGACAAGCAGCGUCUCAGGGACUAUGAAGAAAUGAGGGAGAUAAUGUGAGAUGAGUCUAGAGAACCAAAGGCCCACCAUGCAGGGCCUUACAGGCUUCCUAAGGAUUCUUAUCUUUGUUUUAAAAGCAAUGCAAAUGAAUUGAAGAGGUUUUAGUAGGAAUGACAUGAUCAGACUUUGUGGUUUUAAAUGAUCACUCUAGCUUCAGUGUAAAGAAUCCAUUCUUUAAAUAAAUAUGACCUGGGUGUGCACUAUAGGUCAAGUACCGGUCUGCACACUGAGUACACAGUGGUGGACAAAAUGCACAGACUCCCUGUCUUUGAGGAUCUUACAGAAAAUACAUAAUAGUACAUAAGAUGGUGAGAAGUGCUAUCAAGAAUAUUGGAACCCAGGAUGAUAGUAAGUUUAUGUGGUACAGCCUGGUAGGAUGACAUUAGUGUUAUACUGUUCAACAUAACAUUUGGAAGAGUCAGAGAAGACCUAAUGAGGUGAUGCAAAGAAAGAGGCAAGCUGUGCAAAUCUGUGGUGGGGAGAGCAUCCCAAGCUAAGGGAAAGCAAGCGCAAAGGCCCUAAAGCAAGAAUGUACUUACCGUGUUUGAGGAGCAAAGAGGAGGCCAGUGUGGCUGAAGAGGAAUGGUAGUAGGGACCAGAGCGUGCUGGGUCUUGUAGACCACGGUAAGAAAUUGGCUUUUCCUCUUUGAAUGAUGUAAGCUGUUGAGGAGUUUUCAGUAGAGGAGCUACACAAUCCGUCAUCUUGAAAAGGACUGCUCUGUUACUGGUAUACAGAGGGAUCACU